UAACAGUAACUCUCAGGAAGGUUUUGCCUACGCUCAGAAUUCUGAGACCAAUCACUAGAAUCAAACUGCCAGAAUCAAACUGCCAUAAGCGACUGAAGAUCAGACUUUAGGGGACUUUUUAUUUGUCAUGGAAUUGAUGGAACUAGGGCCAUAUUUUUUUCUCUUGCAUCGGUGUACGAAUCAGCUGAUCAAUGUCUUGAACUAUAAGCUGAGCAUGAAAACCUUCAGGCAAACUAGUACCGACUUGUAAGCUGGCAGCGUGAUAUCAGAGUGAGCAUUGUAUGUGUGGCUUGUGAAAUUCAGUAUACUUUUUGUAUUGUAAGUUUCUUCCUGUGUGGUGCUGGGAUAGUAUAGUUAUAAGAUGUAGUUUUGGUAUUAUCUGACUAUAUAGAUUGAUCUGUUUUACCUUGACUCUGGAACCGGCUUCUUUAAGUUGCCUACUUUCUUCUUUC